CACAAAAAUACAUACGCAUACAAAAUAUAUUCGAAGUUCUAAAUUUUGCUUUAUAGAGAUUUUACUUUUUUGGAUUCUUGACCAUUAUAGUGGGGGAAAAGGAAGAAGAGAAAUAGGUACAGAAAAAGAGAAAGACAGAUUCUUUAAGAAAUAUUCCCCAACCAGCUACAUCGGAUGGUGCCAUUAAAAGCUAGAUAACAAGGACAUUGUUUCGUAUUACAUUGGGCUUUGCAUCUACACCCUGGAAAACGAUUUUGACAUUCGCUACUACAUUGGCAAAACUUCUCACAGAAGUUUUGAGCUUGUAUACAUGGACAUGAGUUAUCGCAUUGUCUUCCCGGAUGAUCGCAUGGUGCAAAAUUAUGGACAUGAUUGGCGCCUUAAAAGCAAAGAAAAUAAUAAAAAAAUAAUGUAAAUUAUGAAUAAAAAAAUAAAUCAAUAUUAUUUAUUUUAGAAUAUU